rnacentral:misc_RNA from 1 species
GCAUGGACUUCUCGGCGAAAUUUCGAGGUUGUUUCUGGGUACCGGGAGAUUCUAGAGACCGUACUAUUGGAGGAUCCUAGGGUUUGGUUAGGAGUUUGAUACAUGGACGACAAUCGGGGCUUUUUUGAAAUAAUCAGGAGAAUUUGAAUAUGGGUCUCGCUUGCUGAUGCUGGUUAAGGCACCCAUUGUUCAAAUCUAAAGCUUAACAAGCUUAAAAAUUUAAAACCCAUCUAAAGGAAAGCAUUUUUAGUCUGAAAAUAUAACUAAUUUUGUUAAUAAGGGAGCUUUCUAGACAGAGAUAAAAUCCUAGACAAACAAUUUGGC